rnacentral:sRNA from 1 species
GAGGGUUGGUGCAGAAGUACCCACAGCAGAAUAGAUCAUGUGUCCCACCAGUGGCAGAAUGGGCUGUUCCUCAGUCAUCAAGACUGAAAUACAGGCAAUUAUUCAAUAGUCAUGACAAAACUAUGAGUGGACACUUAACAGAUGGAGCUUCACUCUUGUUGCCCAGGCCGGAAUGCAAUGGUGUGAUCUCAGCUCACUGCAGUCUCCACCUCUUGGGUUCAAGUGAGUCUCCUGCCUCAGCCUCCCAAGUAGCUGGGAUUACAGGCAUGUACCACCACGCCCGGCUAAUUUUGUAUUUUUAGUAGAAACAGGGUUUCACCAUGUUGCUCAGGCUGGUCUCAAACUCCUGACCUCAGGUGAUCCACCCACCUCAGCCUCCCAAAGUGCUGGGAUUACAGGCAUGAGCCACCACACCCGGCCCACUGAAGGUCCCCAAGCAAGAACUAUUCUUAUGCAAUCAAGUUUACCACAGGCUCAGCUGGCUUCAAUAUGGAAUCUUUCUGACAUUGAUCAAGAUGGAAAACUUACAGCAGAAGAAUUUAUCCUGGCAAUGCACCUCAUUGAUGUAGCUAUGUCUGGCCAACCACUGCCACCUGUCCUGCCUCCAGAAUAUAUUCCACCUUCUUUUAGAAGAGUUCGAUCUGGCAGUGGUAUAUCUGUCAUAAGCUCAACAUCUGUAGAUCAGAGGCUACCAGAGGAACCAGUUUUAGAAGAUGAACAACAACAAUUAGAAAAGAAAUUACCUGUAACGUUUGAAGAUAAGAAGCGGGAGAACUUUGAACGUGGCAACCUGGAACUGGAGAAACGAAGGCAAGCUCUCCUGGAACAGCAGCGCAAGGAGCAGGAGCGCCUGGCCCAGCUGGAGCGGGCGGAGCAGGAGAGGAAGGAGCGUGAGCGCCAGGAGCAAGAGCGCAAAAGACAACUGGAACUGGAGAAGCAACUGGAAAAGCAGCGGGAGCUAGAACGGCAGAGAGAGGAGGAGAGGA